UCACACAUGGUUUUCGGCACGAAAAAAAAACACGUUCGUUUCAAACCACUACUGCACAAAUACUAUAACAGUGACGAAAACGUGUUUUGGUACGUGCAUAGAUAAGAUAUCUAGAUACCCAAUGCAUUACUCGUUUUUUUCACUACCCAUCUAGGGCGCCCUCUAGGCGAACAGUCUCGUUGUUUAAUAGCCACACCUCGUAUAUUUUAAUGUAGGUCAAUUAACUUUGAUAUAGACCUA